rnacentral:pre_miRNA from 1 species
CAAGUACUCCCUCCGUCCGGAAUUACUUGUCAUCAAAAUGGAUGUGUCUAGAACUAAAAUACAUCUAGAUACAUCCAUUUCAAUGACAAGUAUUUUCGGA